UAGAUCGUGAAAACGGGGUCAAAAGAGAUUAAUUUCGUUGUGGAAAGUCGGACAGCCGCCGGAAUGCUGCCGGAAAGUUGCCGGACUGCCGUCGCCGCCGGUGGGCCACUGCCGGGCAGCAUCUCCGGGGUCCGGCAGCUCCUUCACUCACGAGGUAUCGGGAUUCAAGGCGUGACUAUUGAGCAAGAUCCGAAGGGCAUGGAGAGUAUUUUAUUUUUAAUUAAUCUUUACUUAAACGUUGAACUCGUGUACGGACUUUUAUUUGAAACUCGGUCUUCACAAACGGACUUUUAUU